rnacentral:lncRNA from 1 species
GAGAAAGGAAAGAAUAGAAAAGGUACUGAACUCCAGGUCCAAGUCAAUCAUCUUUGCUUCUCUCACAUUGUCAUCGACAUUUACCCCAGCAUUAUCCUCAUCGCUUCAUCACUACUGCCACCCCAACCAAUCUGCCUCCUCUGUAUAAGGCUGGAAGACAGAGAUCCACCAGGCUCUCAAUUGAAAGCCCUGGAGGGCUACACCCUAAGAACAGAAGUGAAUCGGAGGUACACUUAGCAAAACUGAAACCAGCUUCUGAUUCAGAAUAAUCUCUGACUCGAUUGAGGUGAUCAAAGGCUAUUCUACCUGCCCAACAGAAGAAAAAGGGAACACUUUCGGUGGAAGGCAAUAUCAUCUGGACCCUUUAUGGUUUUAUUAUACAUAAUGUCUAACAUUUUUUAAAUUACUAGAUGUGGAAGAUCAAGUUCAUUUGCCCAAUAAUCAAGAGAAAAAAACACACACAAUAGAAACACAAUUAUAGAUGAUCAAGAUAUUGUAAUCAGCAAAUGAGAAUUUACAAAUAAUUUUUAUGAAUAUGUUUAAGAAAAUAAAGUGCAAAAUUGAUGAGGAAAUGGACAAUUUUCAGUAAAACUAACCUAUAAAAAAGAUUUCUUUAGGCAUUCUAAAUUUGAAAAAAUAUACUAUCGUCAGUUAAGAAAUCAAUAUAUGGAGAAAACUGCAGUGGAAAGGAUCAGUAGAGAUAGCAGUGUGUCCAACAGCCAAGAAAGUAGGGUGGCGGGCAUACAGAUAGUGAUGUGCAUAGGGGCAAAAGAAGUCAUAAUGGGAAAGCCAUGUGGAGGCAGCAGAGUGCCUGGUGUCCAAGGAAGCAUGUAUAGGGGGUACAUAUGGUGGCAGUUGUAUGCUCAGCAGAAGAAGCACCAGGGAGGUGAAGGUCACGUUGACAGCAUGAACCUUCGAUGUGAUGUGAGGAAAAUGGCAUUCUACCUCUGUGUUCUUCCUCCCCAAAAUUUGUAACCACCAUCUAAUCAUGAGGAAAACAUCAUACAAGUCCAAAUUGAGGAAGAUUCUACAAAAUGCCUGAUUAAUAUUCAUCGAAACUGUCAAGGUCAUCAAAAGCAAGGAAAGUCUGAGAAACUGCCACAGCCUAAAGACAAUCCAGGGAAACGUGAUGACUCAGUGGUAUUCGGGGUGGGUUUCUGGAACAGCAAAAGGACAACAGGCACUGGACUUCAUUACUUCCUUACUGCAACCUGGCGCUUAAAGUGCUAUCAUCACAAGGAUGAAGAAACAGUUCAGAAAGGCUGAUUGAGAUGGCUAUGGUCAUGCCUUAUACCACUGGCAGGUAAGCCAAACUGAAUUUGUGGAAGAAAAAUAAGUCAGCGUUUAAUGGAUGGAACAGAGAGUGGAAACAUCUGACAGAACAGUAGGAAACUUUGUUCUGUUUUGAACGCCUCACCACUACUCAUACCAUCUGUCAUGCAUUUCUCAUGAAAUAAACAAUUUUCAGAAUUUUUUUGUCCAGGGAAGAGACAUUUUGUGUUUUAUUGAUUUAUUUAUCCUAUGUAGACUUAAGGUAAUGACAUUUAAGAAAAUAACUUUUGAAGGAGAUACUUUUAUCAAAACAGGUAGUACUUGUUUUAUUUGAAAGCCUUUCUCAAGGACAUGAGAUGGGGAUACACAUUAUAAUUCAU